GGCGGACGGGUGAGUAAUACUUAGGAAUCUACCUAGUAGUGGGGGAUAGCUCGGGGAAACUCGAAUUAAUACCGCAUACGACCUACGGGAGAAAGGGGGCAACUUGUUGCUCUCGCUAUUAGAUGAGCCUAAGUCGGAUUAGCUAGAUGGUGGGGUAAAGGCCUACCAUGGCGACGAUCUGUAGCUGGUCUGAGAGGAUGAUCAGCCACACCGGGACUGAGACACGGCCCGGACUCCUACGGGAGGCAGCAGUGGGGAAUAUUGGACAAUGGGGGCAACCCUGAUCCAGCCAUGCCGCGUGUGUGAAGAAGGCCUUUUGGUUGUAAAGCACUUUAAGCAGUGAAGAAGACUCCGUGGUUAAUACCCACGGACGAUGACAUUAGCUGCAGAAUAAGCACCGGCUAACUCUGUGCCAGCAGCCGCGGUAAUACAGAGGGUGCAAGCGUUAAUCGGAAUUACUGGGCGUAAAGCGAGCGUAGGUGGCUUGAUAAGUCAGAUGUGAAAUCCCCGGGCUUAAC
rnacentral:rRNA from 1 species